GGCGGAGGAAGGUUCUGGAAGCCCGGCGGGUGUCGUGGCGGUUGCUGCCGCCGCUGCGGUUAGGCUUUGUGCCUUUCUGGCCUUUUCCUGUUCUCUGUUAAACGCGCCUGAAGUGAUUUUGCACUGACUCUCGAUGUGAUGUUAUGAUUCUCGGUCCAGCCUACAAAGCAAACACCCACUUGUAGAAGCUGAGGCGGCGCUCGGAACCGCAGGGCUGCUCCGCAGCGUGGGAGCACUGCGAGUUACAGCCAGCCUUCCGCAUGGCCGCCUCCUCCUCGCGGCGCAUGGUGAUGACGUCACAACGGGGACGGCUUCCCGCGCGUGCAGUGAGUGAGCCAUGCCAUGGCAACACAGCCUACGCGCACGGCCUGAAGCCCAUGAGUUUGACUCCGAGCAGAUUCUUGACCUAACUUGACCUAACUGCUCCCUCUGCAGAAUGUACUUCAGGGAGCUCCUGAACCCUCUGCUGACCGACCAACUGUAUGAGAAGUUCUCACAAAGCGAGUCUGCCUGUGUCAGAGGAAGAGCUGCCUUCAUGGAGGCACAGAUGUGGAAUUCAUCUUGAACCACACAGAUGUCCUCUUCAGCUCCAAAUCCAGCUCAGUCAUCGGAGAUGGAGCAGAAGAACUUCACCCAACGAGAUGAAGAAAUCACCAGCUGGCAGUUGUCAUUCCUGCUUCAGCCUGGGAAAUCCAUCCUCUGUGGCCAAAUGCAAACUGCAGCACAAUUCCAGGAGGCCUCAGAAAUGGAAGUCAUAGUCCUGGCAGGUGAAUCUAACCGGCUCCAACCCAAAAGACCCAGACCCAGUAGCGGUGCUCCCAAGAAGCAUGAAUUGCUGCACUUCUGAUGGCAACCUUCCAUAAGACAAUAGUGAUGGGGAGAAGGAGCUCAUCCACUUGGACAGUCUGCUGCAUAUGAGCCAGCAGUGUGCCCAGGUGGCCAAGGCGGCCAGCAGCAUCCUGGCUUGGAUCCGUAAUGAUGUGGUGAGCACCACUGGAAAAGUCAUCCUGCCCCUGUACUGCGCACUGGUGAGGCCUCACCUCGAGUGCUGUGUUCAGUUUUGGGCACCUCGGUACAGAAGGGAAACCGAGGUACUGGAGCAGGUCCAAAAAAGGGCUACAAGGCUGAUGAAGGGCUUGUGAAGGGCCUGGGGCCCCCAGCACAAGAAAGACGCAGAGCUCUUGGACCGGGUCCAGAGGAGGGCCACUAAGAUGACCACAGGGCUUUCUUCUCCUCUGAAGAAAGGUUGGGGGAACUGGGCUUGUUCAGC